GACGUGUCUGUAUCCACAGAAGUGCCGUGGGGCAGCAGUGGUACUGUGGAUGAAAGUCUACCUUGAGCAGCCUGAACUCGCCCAACUUAGUCCCGUCUGACAACUAAAUGGAGCGAGGUAGAUAAGCUUCUUGACAGACGAGGCUGUUGCGUACAUCAUUAGUCAAUUGAUUGAACAGUUCAUGAACCUGCAAGUAGUGUUAGAUGGACUGAGAAAUUUCUACGAAAGUGUCUUCUAUGUGAACGUUCUAAAGUCACCGAAGUUGUUUGAUCUGGUGGGGGGAGCUAGUUGACCUCCUGGACAAGGUCUAAGAUUGCAGAACUACAGUUUCAACUCCCGACGUCAGCUUAUUUAAGCGUAGAUGAACUACCCAGAAUGAACUACCUGCUGAACUCUUUUAAGAGACUGUGUUCUCUCGCAACAUAAAGAAAUCGUAAGAGAUCUGAUAAACUUUGCAAGAGAUACACCGCCGAAAUAAAUGUCGGUAUCCCAAGAGUGGGUUUAAA